rnacentral:SRP_RNA from 1 species
CAUCGGUCCUUCGUGACACCUAAUUGUGAAUCCUGUCAGGAUCGGAAGAUAGCAGCAGCAGCAGUGAACGUGUGCACCGAAGAUUCGCUGAUGUGG